rnacentral:lncRNA from 1 species
GCUCACAUUCUAAUAAAUAAUAUUGCUGUAGGUCAAAAUAAACUAACUAGAUUACAUAUUUCCUGGACUAUAAAUUCCCAGCAACCAUAAAAUUGUUUUAACCAAGAAAUUUUAUCAAAAAACAUGAACCCAUACAUGAAUCUCGAACAGUGAAUGGAUAUUAUUAUAAUGAUAACUAAUAGUCCAAACAAAAUGAUCCAUUCUAGCCCCCCAGGGCACGUACCAACUGCCAAAGAUGAGGGCGCUUCAAGGCUGGCAGAUCAGAUGUUAUGAGUUUGAUUCCUGAAAGGUUUUUGGAGGUCAGAUAUUCUCCUGGAAGGCAGAAUUUUAUCCUGGAAGGCAGGAGCUCUACUAGAAGACAAGGUACAAAAAUGGGAAACGACUUGCUUGACAUUUUGGCAGAUCAGUUGGGGCUCUUAAGCACUAGUCAGUUUGAGGCAUAACCUGCGGUUUAACCUGUCUGCAGCUUGAGGGACCAAGGUGUAGACUCCAGGAUUUAGUCACCACCUGGAUAUCAAAAAAAUAAAUAAAUAAAUGAUCCAUUCUAGUUAGAUUCAGCAUAUGAAGAACAUAUACUCGUUAUAUAUAUAUAUAUAUAUAUAUUGAUUGCGAAAGUGUUUACAUACGUUUCAAAAACAUAUAUCACAGAUUAAGGUUCUAAUCUAUUUUCUGUCUGCUCUGAUACCAGCUGUUAGUUUUUUAAUUACAUUACACACGUCGAUUUAGAACACAGAUCAAGUGAAUUUAGAAUAAAUACCUCUUGAAGCCAUAAU